UACGGGGGGAGCAAGCGUUGUUCGGAUUUACUGGGCGUAAAGGGCUCGUAGGCGGCCAACUAAGUCCGACGUGAAAUCCCAAGGCUUAACCUUGGAACUGCGUCGGAUACUGGAUGGCUUGAAUUCGGGAGAGGGAUGCAGAAUUCCAGGUGUAGCGGUGAAAUGCGUAGAUAUCUGGAGGAAUACCGGUGGCGAAGGCGGCAUCCUGGACCGACAUUGACGCUGAUGAGCGAAAGCUAGGGGAGCAAACGGG
rnacentral:rRNA from 1 species